ensembl:lncRNA
CAGAUUGUUGGCGCAUCUGUGCUGAUUUUAUCACUGUUUGGAGCUUGUGUAAUCGACUUCCUGUUUCCUGUUAGAAUGGCAGCAGGGCAAGUGCCGUCCCCAACUGUCAGUCAUCACAGGAAGAGGCAACCACAGCCAAGGAGGCGUGGCUCGCGUCAGGCCUGCUGUUCUCGACUACCUUAAGAGCCAACAUUACAAGUUCACAGAGCCGAAACCGGGUUUGGUGAUCGUCGUGUUGCAUGGCGCUGAUUAUUAGCUGUGCUGUGUAAUGACCGGAGCUUUCUUUCUUCCUAUACGUUUAAAUACCGCAUUCACUUUCGUUCUGCUCUCUUUCUCUCACAUUUGUUUCACCUUAUUUUCACACAUUUCACUCUCUCUCUCGCUCUCGCUCUCUCUCUCGCUCUCACUCGCACUGUCUAACUCUCUCUCUCUCUGCCUCUCUCUCUUUCUCCCUCUUUCCUUCUGUCUGUCUGUCUAUCACUCUCUCUCUCUCUCUUUCUUGCUCAUCUCUGUCAUUUGUGUAUAUAAUACGGUAAACUCUACUUUUGUAAAUAUUGUAAAAAGAAAAAAGAAAAGGUUCUUAUAUCUACAUAAGCUUUGAAUACAAUACAAUAAUGUUAUUAAGCAGGUAAUACUUUUUAUAAUGCCGCUUUUGUAAGGCAUUCUUAUUUUGAACAAUAAGACAGAAUAACAAAUGGUACUUUUAACGUUUGAAUACAACCCAGAGUAAUAUCAUAGUCGUUUACUAUCAGUCAAAUACUUGUGGACCAAUUCUGUAAAAUCAGGCUGCUUGAUUUACAUUUGAUUUAUGAAGUCUUUUCACACUUGAAAAGGAUUGCAUCGUUGUAUGUACGCGCGCGCGUGUGUUUUAAUUUAGUCAAACGGACAGCUUCUGUCGUCUUCAUUUUAGUGUGUAAUCUCAAUGCAGUUUUGUUCAGAGCCAGCUUUAGUCCAUCAGCUAUUUUAUCGAAAGAACAUUAAAUAAUUCCUCAGAAGAGAUCAUUUAGUGCAGUCUGAUUGGACCGAGAUUUUGAACACAAGUAUACUUAGAAGCUGAUUGCAGAUCAGCUCUCUAAAGCUGCCUGAUUACGUGCGGAGAAAAACAAAGCUGAUGGUGUUUUAUGAACGUGGAUUUAUUUACCACUUUGCAGCUGUUGUGGUUUCAUUACAAGUCUAAUUUUAUAUUUUGUAAUGCUGCUGUUCUUAAU